ACUAGGAAUAUUAAAAAAAGGUCUAAUUCAUGUUUAUUUUACUUCGAUAGAUUAUUUAACUUUAAAAUCAAUUUUCCAACCAGUCGAACUGGCUGUCUUUGCUGGUGACGUAACAAACUCCAAGCGCGAUUCUUAGAACCAGUUAAAUAUUGCACAUUGUUUCGUGACGUAGGCGACGCAUCAAUGACAUCAUGGUUGAAUUAAAUUUUACUGGUUUCGAGCAUUGUGAUGAUCGUAAAUAGAAAGCGGGGAACCACACGACCGUUGCCUGUCCCGUGUCAAGAUUUGAUGAAGAAGUAGAAGUGGCUGUGUCAACGAUCGCGAAAACGUGGAUAACUUUUUGAUCAGAUGUGUGUUGCCAGUAAUGGUUGAAGAUAUGCCAAACAAAUUGUGCCUCUCUAUACAGACAGAUUUCAGGUCUCAAUUUCAACUUCAAAGGUCAACAUAUCACUGAUAUCAGGAAUUCUGUGAAACUGUGGCACCAUGUAUGGUACGUGAGCGCACAAUGUCUGUUGGAAAAAGGAUAUUGGAAUAAGCAAAGGGACUCAACAUUACACAGUCAUUUCAACAUGUAGAGUCUUGUCAGCAAUGAUGGAGCAGUACAUCAGAUUUCCAGAAUCUCGUCAUGAGCUGAAGAUCAUUGCCUAUGGAUUUCAUGAAUGAUGUAAAAUGAUUUGACUGUUGAUGGAACCCACAGUGCAUGUCCUGCUUCAACAUCUGAGCAUAGGUCCUUGUUUAUCAGCAGUUUAGUUCUUCAAGCAGUCUGUGACAGUAACUUGAAAUGUUUGGACAUAUGCCCUGGAUGGCCAAGUUCUAUGCAUGAUGCCCAUUUAAAUAGGAACGGCCCGGUGGCGCAUUAAAUGGACAAUUUUUCGAAUGUUCUCGUGGAUUCAGCUUACCGCCUGACAAGAAAUCUUGCUUUUUGUUCCGUAUCGAGGCCAUGGACAUUUGUAUCAUUUGCAAAAGAUACUGCGAUAUUUGUGCCUUUGUUCAUGCUUUUUAGUUGAUGAACAAUUGGAAGCCAUAACCUGUUUUAUAGGAUGGUGUUAGUGGGACAAUGAAUUUUGUAAAGAUUUAAAGACUGGAAAAGAUAAUUAAAAGUCAAAAGAGUUCUGCUAUUGUUAAGCAUGCUUUAUUGAUUUGUAAUGUUAGAAAGAUAGCAUUAUAAACAGAAUAAAAUGUCCAUAAUUUGAA